GGCCACUGCUAUUGGGAUCCGACUAAGCCAUGCGAGUCGAGAGGGUUCGGCCCUCGGCAGACUGCUCAGUAACACGUGGAUAACCUAACCUUAGGUGGAAGAUAACCUCGGGAAACUGAGAAUAAUAUUCCAUAGAUCUAGGAUGCUGGAAUGCAUCUAGAUUGAAAGUUCCGACGCCUAAGGAUGGGUCUGCGGACUAUCAGGUUGUAGUCAGGGUAAAGACCUGACUAGCCUACGACGGAUAUGGGUUGUGAGAGCAAUAGCCCAGAGACGAUAUCUGAGACACGAUAUCGGGCCCUACGGGGCGCAGCAGGCGCGAAAUCUUCACAAUGUGCGAAAGCACGAUGAGGGGAUCCCAAGUGCUGGCACGUAAGUGUCAGCUGUUUCUUAGUCUAAAAAACUGAGAGAGUAAGGGCUGGGUAAGACGGGUGCCAGCCGCCGCGGUAAUACCUGCAGCUCAAGUGGUGGCCGCUAUUAUUGGGCCUAAAACGUCCGUAGCCUGUUUAGUAAAUGCUUGGGUAAAUUGUGUAGCUUAACUAUACGAAUACCGGGUAGACUGCUAAACUUGGGACCGGGAGAGGCUAGAGGUACUCCUGGGGUAGAGGUGAAAUUCUGUAAUCCUAGGGGGACCACCAGUGGCGAAGGCGUCUAGCUAGAACGGGUCUGACGGUGAGGGACGAAGCCCUGGGGCGCAAACCGGAUUAGAUACCCGGGUAGUCCAGGGUGUAAACGCUGCUUGCUUGAUGUUAGUUGGGCUCCGAGCCCAACUAGUGUCGGAGAGAAGUUGUUAAGCAAGCUGCCUGGGAAGUACGGUCGCAAGACUGAAAC
rnacentral:rRNA from 1 species